rnacentral:rRNA from 1 species
GAUGAACGCUGGCGGCGUGCCUAAUACAUGCAAGUCGAGCGGACAGACGAGGAGCUUGCUCCUCUGACGUUAGCGGCGGACGGGUGAGUAACACGUGGAUAACCUACCUAUAAGACUGGGAUAACUUCGGGAAACCGGAGCUAAUACCGGAUAAUAUAUUGAACCGCAUGGUUCAAUAGUGAAAGACGGUUUUGCUGUCACUUAUAGAUGGAUCCGCGCCGCAUUAGCUAGUUGGUAAGGUAACGGCUUACCAAGGCAACGAUGCGUAGCCGACCUGAGAGGGUGAUCGGCCACACUGGAACUGAGACACGGUCCAGACUCCUACGGGAGGCAGCAGUAGGGAAUCUUCCGCAAUGGGCAAAAGCCUGACGGAGCAACGCCGCGUGAGUGAUGAAGGUCUUCGGAUCGUAAAACUCUGUUAUUAGGGAAGAACAAAUGUGUAAGUAACUAUGCACGUCUUGACGGUACCUAAUCAGAAAGCCACGGCUAACUACGUG